GGCUCAGGACGAACGCUGGCGGCGUGCCUAAUACAUGCAAGUAGAACGCUGAAGAGAGGAGCUUGCUCUUCUUGGAUGAGUUGCGAACGGGUGAGUAACGCGUAGGUAACCUGCCUUGUAGCGGGGGAUAACUAUUGGAAACGAUAGCUAAUACCGCAUAACAAUGGAUGACACAUGUCAUUUAUUUGAAAGGGGCAAUUGCUCCACUACAAGAUGGACCUGCGUUGUAUUAGCUAGUAGGUGAGGUAAUGGCUCACCUAGGCGACGAUACAUAGCCGACCUGAGAGGGUGAUCGGCCACACUGGGACUGAGACACGGCCCAGACUCCUACGGGAGGCAGCAGUAGGGAAUCUUCGGCAAUGGGGGCAACCCUGACCGAGCAACGCCGCGUGAGUGAAGAAGGUUUUCGGAUCGUAAAGCUCUGUUGUAAGUCAAGAACGGGUGUGAGAGUGGAAAGUUCACACUGUGACGGUAGCUUACCAGAAAGGGACGGCUAACUACGUGCCAGCAGCCGCGGUAAUACGUAGGUCCCGAGCGUUGUCCGGAUUUAUUGGGCGUAAAGCGAGCGCAGGCGGUUUGAUAAGUCUGAAGUUAAAGGCUGUGGCUCAACCAUAGUUCGCUUUGGAAACUGUCAAACUUGAGUGCAGAAGGGGAGAGUGGAAUUCCAUGUGUAGCGGUGAAAUGCGUAGAUAUAUGGAGGAACACCGGUGGCGAAAGCGGCUCUCUGGUCUGUAACUGACGCUGAGGCUCGAAAGCGUGGGGAGCGAACAGGAUUAGAUACCCUGGUAGUCCACGCCGUAAACGAUGAGUGCUAGGUGUUGGAUCCUUUCCGGGAUUCAGUGCCGCAGCUAACGCAUUAAGCACUCCGCCUGGGGAGUACGACCGCAAGGUUGAAACUCAAAGGAAUUGACGGGGGCCCGCACAAGCGGUGGAGCAUGUGGUUUAAUUCGAAGCAACGCGAAGAACCUUACCAGGUCUUGACAUCCCGAUGCUAUUUCUAGAGAUAGAAAGUUACUUCGGUACAUCGGUGACAGGUGGUGCAUGGUUGUCGUCAGCUCGUGUCGUGAGAUGUUGGGUUAAGUCCCGCAACGAGCGCAACCCCUAUUGUUAGUUGCCAUCAUUCAGUUGGGCACUCUAGCGAGACUGCCGGUAAUAAACCGGAGGAAGGUGGGGAUGACGUCAAAUCAUCAUGCCCCUUAUGACCUGGGCUACACACGUGCUACAAUGGUUGGUACAACGAGUUGCGAGUCGGUGACGGCGAGCUAAUCUCUUAAAGCCAAUCUCAGUUCGGAUUGUAGGCUGCAACUCGCCUACAUGAAGUCGGAAUCGCUAGUAAUCGCGGAUCAGCACGCCGCGGUGAAUACGUUCCCGGGCCUUGUACACACCGCCCGUCACACCACGAGAGUUUGUAACACCCGAAGUCGGUGAGGUAACCUUUUGGAGCCAGCCGCCUAAGGUGGGACAGAUGAUUGGGGUGAAGUCGU
rnacentral:rRNA from 1 species